GAUGAACGCUGGCGGCGUGCCUAAUACAUGCAAGUCGAGCGAACGGACGAGAAGCUUGCUUCUCUGAUGUUAGCGGCGGACGGGUGAGUAACACGUGGAUAACCUACCUAUAAGACUGGGAUAACUUCGGGAAACCGGAGCUAAUACCGGAUGAUAUUUUGAACCGCAUGGUUCAAAAGUGAAAGACGGUCUUGCUGUCACUUAUAGAUGGAUCCGCGCUGCAUUAGCUAGUUGGUAAGGUAACGGCUUACCAAGGCAACGAUGCAUAGCCGACCUGAGAGAGUGAUCGGCCACACUGGAACGGAGACACGGUCCAGACUCCUACGGGAGGCAGCAGUAGGGAAUCUUCCGCAAUGGGCGAAAGCCUGACGGAGCAACGCCGCGUGAGUGAUGAAGGUCUUCGGAUCGUAAAACUCUGUUAUUAGGGAAGAACAUAUGUGUAAGUAACUGUGCACAUCUUGACGGUACCUAAUCAGAAAGCCACGGCUAACUACGUG
rnacentral:rRNA from 1 species